CCUACGGGCGGCUGCAGUGGGGAAUAUUGGACAAUGGGCGAAAGCCUGAUCCAGCCAUGCCGCGUGUGUGAAGAAGGCCUUCGGGUUGUAAAGCACUUUCAGUGGGGAAGAAAGCCUUGGGGCUAAUACCCUCGAGGAAGGACAUCACCCACAGAAGAAGCACCGGCUAACUCCGUGCCAGCAGCCGCGGUAAUACGGAGGGUGCGAGCGUUAAUCGGAAUUACUGGGCGUAAAGCGCGCGUAGGCGGUCUGAUAAGCCGGUUGUGAAAGCCCCGGGCUCAACCUGGGAACGGCAUCCGGAACUGUCAGGCUAGAGUGCAGGAGAGGAAGGUAGAAUUCCCGGUGUAGCGGUGAAAUGCGUAGAGAUCGGGAGGAAUACCAGUGGCGAAGGCGGUCUUCUGGACUGACACUGACGCUGAGGUGCGAAAGCGUGGGUAGCAAACAGGAUUAGAUACCCUUGUAGUC
rnacentral:rRNA from 1 species